GGGCAGAACAACAGAUUUCUACCUUGUCAGCUCGAGGGAUUCGAUAUAGCAACCUUUCAGUUACUGACCCAACGCUCUAACCACUAGGCUACCUGCUGCCCCAAUCACACUAAGCAGCCAAACUAACCCUGAUUCAGAUGACCAUCCUAACCAUGCUAGAUUACGGAGACAUCAUUUAUAGAUUGGCAGGCGCAGGUCCCCGCAGGAGGCCUUUUGCCUUUUGGUAGGCCGUCAUUGUAAAUAAUAAUUUGUUCUUAACUGACUUACCUAGCUAAAUAAAGGUUAAAUAAAUAAAUAAGUCAAUGAUCCACCCUUUAUAAACCAGUCAUAAUGGUACUGCAUGUAGUUCUGUAGUCUCUCCAGCAUGGGGUGCCACUGACUAAAGAGAGGGCUGUGGAAUAACAAUCUAUAUGGAACAACAGGGAGCAAAGAAAAUAGUAAGGAUAAAUAGAGAUAUAGUUAUUUGAAAGCAAAACAGAGGAAAGGAAAGGUCACAAUAAUUAUAUUGUGUCAUUACUUUGAUAUGUUUCUCUUUAAAAAUACGUGCUUAUCUGAAAAUUCGAUGGAAUUGUAGUUGUUGAUAUUUUAUGUGUAGCCUAAUGCUACAGUGUGUCUGCGAUACGGUAACUUCACCACAAUCUGAUUUACAGUAGGACACUGCAUCGCAGAGCUAUGCAAUAGUAUGAUAAGGAGUCCCUCCCUCCUGAUUUAGAGUGUUGAAAUGCAAAAGUGAUUUGCAGUUUUAAUUUCCAAUAAAUCAGUCUAGCUUUUCAAUUAUUUGUAUUUUCUAUUUAACCUUUAUUGAACUAGGCGAGUCAGUUAAGAACAAAUGAUUAUUUACAAUGACGGCCUUCCCCGGCCGAACGAUGCUGGGCCAAAUGUGCACCGCCCUAUGGAACUUCCAAUCAUGGCCGGUUGUGAUAUAGCCUGGAAUCAAACCAGGAUCUGUGUGACGCCUCUAGCACUGAGAUGCAGUGUUUAGACCGCUGCACCACUCGGUAGCAACUCAUAAUUACAAUUAUAAUUACAGUCAAUGCAGUACAUAGUGUUGUACAUAUGAUCUAAUGUAGCAAUUGCAGAUAACAGAGUUGUGUCAAAUUAACUGUCACCUCAACCAAAUCUAUUUUUACAUAUUAACCAUAAUACAAAAUAAACAUUCAUCCAAAAAACAGAAGCUACAUUUAGUUUCUCUCUACUUGGAUAUUGACCAAUAUAUGCAAAGAGGCGAGUUUGAAAUCGUGCAUAUGUAUGGAGCUAUGUACUGUAUAUAACAUGUUUGUCCAAAGUAAAUAUUUCUGUAAAAGACAGACAUCAAAACAUCAAUUUGGAGUCAAUUUGGAAAUGUGAUAACACAACAUAAUGAACAUCUUUCAAAACAGAAAUACUCGUUGUGUGCUAUACACUACACAGUAGACUGGAGUGUAUCAAAUGGACAACCUUGUUGUUAUUGGCAAGUUAGUGCAUGGCUGCAACGUUUUCUUUUUGAUGAUGUACAAACUAAAGCUUACAAACCUGAAUUUGUAAGCUUUAUAUAAACGGCUUUAUAUCCUUCCUAUAAAACAAGAAUGGAAUAGCUCUUUUAUUUUAGACUAUAGCAGUCUCUGUCCUUCCUAACCUACAGUAUUUAUGGACGAGAGGGCUGAAUGUGAUCCUGUGUGUAUUUCUUCUCAUUCAGCUUGGCAGCUAUAGUGAAUAUCUUACCUAAUCUGGGUGCAGGUGGAAGAUCCACAUAAGGAACAGAAUGGCUUUGUCAUUGCACAUGCUCCUUGUUAAACAAGUUGCUCCUCUAUUCUCAACAGUCAUUUGCUUUUUUCAAGAGAUCGACACAGAACUGAAGGUGCAGCCAAGGUAUGGUGAUUAGAAAUGGUUUUGUUGACCUGCAGGGGUGAUCAUGGUAUUGAUAACAUUUCAAGCAGCCUCCUAAUCAAAGGGUUUCCUGUUGAAGUUGUAAUCUUUCUUGAAAAAGGGCUUUGUUUGUUUCAGUGCCAUUUAGGCUACUUGACCAAUAACUUUUUGGCGGUAAACUAAUGGGACUGGGUUUGAGUGGUGGCAGGGAUCA